rnacentral:rRNA from 1 species
CUCCUACGGGAGGCAGCAGUGGGGAAUAUUGGACAAUGGGCGAAAGCCUGAUCCAGCCAUGCCGCGUGAGUGACGAAGGCCUUAGGGUUGUAAAACUCUUUUGGCGGGGACGAUAAUGACGGUACCCGCAGAAUAAGCCCCGGCUAACUUCGUGCCAGCAGCCGCGGUAAUACGUAGGGGGCAAGCGUUGUCCGGAUUUACUGGGCGUAAAGAGCGUGUAGGCGGCCAGGCAGGUCCGUUGUGAAAACUGAAGGCUUAACCUUCAGACGUCGACGGAAACCGCGUGGCUAGAGUCCGGAAGAGGAGAGUGGAAUUCCUGGUGUAGCGGUGAAAUGCGCAGAUAUCAGGAAGAACACCAAUGGCGAAGGCAGCUCUCUGGGACGGUACUGACGCUGAGACGCGAAAGCGUGGGGAGCAAACAGGAUUAGAUACCCUGGUAGUCCACGCCGUAAACGAUGGGUGCUAGGUGUGGGAGGUGUCGACUCCUUCCGUGCCGCAGCUAACGCAUUAAGCACCCCGCCUGGGGAGUACGGCCGCAAGGCUAAAACUCAAAGGAAUUGACGG